GUAGCUCAGAGGUAGAGUGCAUGCUUUGCAAGCAUGAGGCCCUGGGUUCGAUUCCGCAGC
rnacentral:tRNA from 1 species